rnacentral:rRNA from 1 species
CCUACGGGGGGCAGCAGUGAGGAAUAUUGGUCAAUGGGCGGAAGCCUGCACCAGCCAAGUAGCGUGCAGGAUGACGGCCCUACGGGUUGUAAACGGCUGUUAUACGGGAAUAACGCGCCUUACGUGUAGGGCUUUGCAUGUACCGUAUGAAUAAGGACCGGCUAAUUCCGUUCCAGCAGCCGCGGUAAUAAGGAAUGUGCGGCGUUAUUCGGCGUUAUUGGGUUUAAAGGGAGCGUAGGCCGCAUGUCAAGCGUGCUGUGAAAUGUCCGGGCUCAACCCGGGCCUUGCAGCGCGUACUGGCGUGCUUGAGUCCGCGGAAGGCAGGCGGAAUUCGUCGUGUAGCGGUGAAAUGCUUGGAUAUGACGAAGAACCCCGAUUGCGAAGGCAGCUUGCUGCAGCGGAACUGACGCUGAUGCUCGAAAGCGCGGGUAUCGAACAGGAUUAGAUACCCUUGUAGUC